GAUGAACGCUGGCGGCGUGCCUAAUACAUGCAAGUCGAGCGAACGGACGAGAAGCUUGCUUCUCUGAUGUUAGCGGCGGACGGGUGAGUAACACGUGGAUAACCUACCUAUAAGACUGGGAUAACUUCGGGAAACCGGAGCUAAUACCGGAUAAUAUUUUGAACCGCAUGGUUCAAAAGUGAAAGACGGUCUUGCUGUCACUUAUAGAUGGAUCCGCGCUGCAUUAGCUAGUUGGUAAGGUAACGGCUUACCAAGGCAACGAUGCAUAGCCGACCUGAGAGGGUGAUCGGCCACACUGGAACUGAGACACGGUCCAGACUCCUACGGGAGGCAGCAGUAGGGAAUCUUCCGCAAUGGGCGAAAGCCUGACGGAGCAACGCCGCGUGAGUGAUGAAGGUCUUCGGAUCGUAAAACUCUGUUAUUAGGGAAGAACAUAUGUGUAAGUAACUGUGCACAUCUUGACGGUACCUAAUCAGAAAGCCACGACUAACUACGUGCCAGCAGCCGCGGUAAUACGUAGGUGGCAAGCGUUAUCCGGAAUUAUUGGGCGUAAAGCGCGCGUAGGCGGUUUUUUAAGUCUGAUGUGAAAGCCCGCGGCUCAACCGUGGAGGGUCAUUGGAAACUGGAAAACUUGAGUGCAGAAGAGGAAAGUGGAAUUCCAUGUGUAGCGGUGAAAUGCGCAGAGAUAUGGAGGAACACCAGUGGCGAAGGCGACUUUCUGGUCUGUAACUGACGCUGAUGUGCGAAAGCGUGGGGAUCAAACAGGAUUAGAUACCCUGGUAGUCCACGCCGUAAACGAUGAGUGCUAAGUGUUAGGGGGUUUCCGCCCCUUAGUGCUGCAGCUAACGCAUUAAGCACUCCGCCUGGGGAGUACGACCGCAAGGUUGAAACUCAAAGGAAUUGACGGGGACCCGCACAAGCGGUGGAGCAUGUGGUUUAAUUCGAAGCAACGCGAAGAACCUUACCAAAUCUUGACAUCCUUUGACAACUCUAGAGAUAGAGCCUUCCCCUUCGGGGGACAAAGUGACAGGUGGUGCAUGGUUGUCGUCAGCUCGUGUCGUGAGAUGUUGGGUUAAGUCCCGCAACGAGCGCAACCCUUAAGCUUAGUUGCCAUCAUUAAGUUGGGCACUCUAAGUUGACUGCCGGUGACAAACCGGAGGAAGGUGGGGAUGACGUCAAAUCAUCAUGCCCCUUAUGAUUUGGGCUACACACGUGCUACAAUGGACAAUACAAAGGGCAGCGAAACCGCGAGGUCAAGCAAAUCCCAUAAAGUUGUUCUCAGUUCGGAUUGUAGUCUGCAACUCGACUACAUGAAGCUGGAAUCGCUAGUAAUCGUAGAUCAGCAUGCUACGGUGAAUACGUUCCCGGGUCU
rnacentral:rRNA from 1 species